CAGUCGUGGGGCAGCAGGUCCCGACGCAAGUCGGGAUGCUGGCGACCGGCAAACGGGUGCGGAACACGUACGCAACCUUCCUUUAAGUGGGGAAUAGCCCGGGGAAACCCGGAUUAAUACCCCGUAAUAUUAUGAAGUGGCAUCACUUUAUAAUUAUAGCUCCGGCGCUUGAAGAUGGGCGUGCGCCUGAUUAGGUAGUUGGCGGGGUAACGGCCCACCAAGCCUACGAUCAGUAACUGGUGUGAGAGCACGACCAGUCACACGGGCACUGAGACACGGGCCCGACUCCUACGGGAGGCAGCAGUAAGGAAUAUUGGGCAAUGGACGCAAGUCUGACCCAGCCAUGCCGCGUGGAGGAUGAAGGUCCUCUGGAUUGUAAACUUCUUUUAUCUGGGAAGAAAUCCAUCUUUUCUUGGGUGGUUGACGGUACCAGAUGAAUAAGCACCGGCUAACUCCGUGCCAGCAGCCGCGGUAAUACGGAGGGUGCAAGCGUUAUCCGGAUUCACUGGGUUUAAAGGGUGCGUAGGUGGAUUGGUAAGUCCGUGGUGAAAUCCCUGAGCUUAACUCAGGAACUGCCGUGGAUACUAUCAAUCUUGAAUACUGUGGAGGUAAGCGGAAUAUGUCAUGUAGCGGUGAAAUGCUUAGAUAUGACAUAGAACACCAAUUGCGAA
rnacentral:rRNA from 1 species